rnacentral:rRNA from 1 species
CCCUUAGAUGUUCUGGGCCGCACGCGCGCUACACUGUCGGAUUCAGCGAGUCUUAACCUUAACCGAAAGGUUUGGGUAAUCUUUUGAAAGUCCGACGUGAUGGGGAUUGAUCAUUGCAAUUAUUGAUCAUGAACGAGGAUUUCCUAGUAAGCGCGAGUCAUCAGCUCGCGUUGAUUACGUCCCUGCCCUUUGUACACACCGCCCGUCGCUACUACCGAUUGAAUGGUUUAGUGAGAUCUCCGGAUUGGCACCAUCGCGGCUUCGCGGCUGUGACGGAAUGCCGAAAAGUUGAUCAAACUUGAUCAUUUAGAGGAAGUAAAAGUCGUAACA